UAUAACUUAUAAUAUUAAAUAUACUCUGAUUAUUAUGCAUUUUCGGAAACAAACUCGACUGUAAUAUGAUGCUAUACUAUAGCAUUUCUGCUGUGAUUGCAUUUCCCGAAAGAUUAGCUUUCAAUUAGAUUUCCAACAAAUUAAUUUAAUUUAUUAUUUCAUGACCAUUAGAAUUCCUAUAUUUUAUUUUUUCUCCGUUACCCCUAACUAUAUUCAGUAGUUUUUAAUAUUCCGCCCGGUUAGUUUUCUCUAAAUUUAUUUUCAACGACAUUAGAUUGCAUACCUAAUCUUGUGCAUUUAUUUACCAACGAAUUAUUAUGGGCUGCGUGCGCACAAAUUCAUUUUUCGAAAAAAAGGAUUGAAAAUCAGCUCUCGAAUUCUCUCAUAUUCUUUUUAAUGAUAAUUCCGUUUGAGGUACUACUACACGCGCGACCGAAGAAGAAAAAUAAUCUAUAAUAAUAAUAAUAUUAUAUUAUUUUUACACUCGUGAAAGAUACAAAUCAUUUUUUUGUUUUCUAUACUACUGCUCAACGGUGCACACAAAUAAUAAUAUUAUGCAGCUGUUUCGGCAAUAUACUCGCGGCGUAUAAUUAUAUGUAUUUUACAUAUAAUAUAUAAUACGUGUUCCUAUAAUCAUAUUAUUAUUGUACGAUAUUAUUAUUUUAUAUUGUAAUGUAAUAACAUUCAGAUCUGAAACGGCUGAAUUUAUAACUAUUUAUAAUAUUUUACCGUUAUCCGGAUUAGGUCGACUAGAAUAAUACAAUAUUAUUACAUUUUAGAUUGUUAUUAUUAUUAUUAUUAUAAUUAUUGUGUCUGUAUUGUGAUUGUCAAUGCGACUUGACUCGUCGCGUAUAUUUUUUUUUAACCGCCUAAUCCGAGGCGUUAUUUUGUUUUAUUGUAUUUUUAAACAACCACAAAUAGUGUAGGUGGUACUUACGCCAGACGGGAUAUCAGGUGGUGUGGGUGUUUAGGACGCGGGGGAUGGAGGGGGGGGUGAUCGUCCCCGGAAAGCCGGUAUAACGGCGAAGGAGGAGCGGGGGUAGAAGAAAAAAAAGAGAUAUUUAAAAUGAUAAAUCGGUAAUGCGCGUUUAUGUUUUUUUUUUCGAAUGCGCGUUAAAAUGUUCUUCGAUCGGUUGGGGUAUCCGCGGAAAAUUAAAAACCGAGCAUUCGCACGCAUAUAGCGGUUAAGACGAUUUUCCUUCUGCGGCACCGGUCCGCAUAUUGCGUGGCGUGAAACGGAUAACGUGCUGAAUACAGAUUAGCUAUAUUUUAUUAUACAUAGGUACUGUAGAAUCGCGCGAUUCGCGAAUCGUUUAGUUUUUUUUUUUUAAAACUAUCAUUCAUAACUAUUUACUGAAAUGAAAACCAAAUUGAAACGUCUCUUUAAAAAAUUAGGCGUAGUAAAAAAUUUUCUUCGCUAUUAUUCUAUCACUUCCUUUCCGCCGCCGUUAAAUCGACGUGAGCGGAUAUAGAAACUCGCAUACAAUCUCUGCAGCUCCGCGUACGACCCGAUCCCGGUAUUGAUUGAAAACUAGAACGAUACUUGAUGUGAUUUUUUUUUAAAAUAAUAAAACGAGUAAUAUUAUCUGGGCCUUAAUUUUAUUUUGAUGUCGGGCGAUUAACGACAAUCCGUAAAAUUGAUUGUAUCAAUGAAAUAUAUCGUGUUUUAAUCAACCGAGAAUAACGCGAUCAUUUUUUUUUUAAACGUAAAACGCGUACUCGUCACACAAACAGUUUAAAUAAAUAAUCGCAAUAAAAAUCAAUCAAGAAAAUGACUGGGUAAGGAUCUCCCUUAACACCACUGAUACCACUGGCGUACAAUCGGCCGGUCUUAAUAAUAUACGUACCAAGUCAAGUCGCAUUAACACGCGGUAAAUUAUUACAAUAUUAGAUUUUUAACUAAGUUUCGAACUGUCCACGUAUUUAUCCGUUUCUGUAUUAGACACCUCUGUAUUAUCAUACCCUCAGUGGCGUGCGCAAGUGAGCGGAGGUUAGGGACUAUAUUCCUCCUCCUCCUCCUCCUCCCCCUCAUUGGCUUAAAAAUACAUAACUAUAAGAGUAUUUGUUUAGUGUUUAUUAUCUUAAAAAAUCUUGUGAAAUUACAAGGAAAAAAUAAUAAUUGUUGAAUACGGUUUUACGGAUCCGGGUUUUAAAUUAUCGUUGUCUGGCACCUGUUUAGUGUCCCUUAACGACACAAAUUUCCGGACACGCCACUGUGUAAAAAUAACAAAACAACGUUAUUUUGUCCCCCCCCUUCGAAAUCUGUAUGUAUUUUGGAAAAGAAACAAUUUUAUUACCUAGGUAUAUUAUGUUUUCUAAAUACAAUAGAUUGCUUCUCCUUCUCCUCCCCGGUAGAAAAAAAAAAUACAAAAUGAAAAAAACACACGACAUUAGGCGUCGUAAAAAAUCAACAAAUCGUUACCUCAAAAAAAAAAAAAAAAAAAAAACCAAAAAAAAACCGGGGAAAAAAUUGCGCGUAUUUACCAAUGAUUUUAUUUUAUUAUUUUAUUUUAUUUUAUUUUAUUAUUUUUGUUUAAUCGUAACCGAAUAUCAAAGUACUAUUUUUUUAAGUUUUACCUUUUGUGACUCACCUACUAUAUUACCUAUUAUCUAUUAGUUGUAUAAUAUUAUUAUUAACUGAAAAAAAAAAAAAAAAAAAAAAAAAUGUAUAAUCAUUUGUUAUAGUUCGAAUACGGAUUAAUCAUUAUCGAUUUUAUUAUUAUUUAUUAUUCGGCGGGAUAUUGUGUAAUAAUGUAUACAUCGUUCGUUUCCUUGUCUAUGUUAUAAUAAUAAUAAUAAUAAUAAUAAUUUUUAAAUAAGACCCGUGCCUAUAUACAUUUUAUAUUAUAUAAUAUACACGCAGGUUCUGGGUCGUAAAAAAAAAAAAAAAAAAAAAAAUCACGCAGAAUUACGUUAUUAAAUUAAAUCAUUGUUUGUAUAAAAUUAAUAAUUUAUAAGACAUCGAGGGGACUAUAUAAAUAUGAAUUACAAUUGUAUGUUUUUUUUUGUUUUUUAAUGUACAAUGUAUUUUUUUUUUUUUUAUUAUAAAAAAGAAAAACCUACACGUGUAAGAUUUAAUAAUAAUAAUAUGUAGACGUAUUAUCAUAUAUUAUAUUAUACAAAGUAUUAGAUUAGUAAAAUAUAUAU